rnacentral:rRNA from 1 species
GACGAACGCUGGCGGCGUGCUUAACACAUGCAAGUCGAACGGAAAGGCCCUGCUUGCAGGGUACUCGAGUGGCGAACGGGUGAGUAACACGUGGGUGAUCUGCCCUGCACUUCGGGAUAAGCCUGGGAAACUGGGUCUAAUACCGGAUAGGAGCCAUUUUUAGUGUGAUGGUUGGAAAGUUUUUUCGGUGUAGGAUGAGCUCGCGGCCUAUCAGCUUGUUGGUGGGGUAAUGGCCUACCAAAGCGGCGACGGGUAGCCGGCCUGAGAGGGUGGACGGCCACAUUGGGACUGAGAGACGGCCCAGACUCCUACGGGAGGCAGCAGUGGGGAAUAUUGCACAAUGGGCGCAAGCCUGAUGCAGCGACGCCGCGUGGGGGAUGACGGCCUUCGGGUUGUAAACUCCUUUCGCUAGGGACGAAGCUUUUUGUGACGGUACCUAGAUAAGAAGCACCGGCUAACUACGUG